ACGAACGCUGGCGGCGUGGAUAAGACAUGCAAGUCGAACGGGAUGCUGUAAGUAGCAAUACGAGCAGUGUCUAGUGGCGAACGGGUGCGUAACACGUGGAUACAUUCCGGGAAGCGGGGGAUAGCCCAGGGAAACUUGGAUUAAUACCGCAUGUGAUCGAGAGAUCAAAGACGGGGACCGCAAGGCCUGUCACUUCCCGAUUGGUCCGCGGCCUAUCAGCUAGUUGGCGGGGUAAAAGCCCACCAAGGCUACGACGGGUAGCUGGUCUUAGAGGACGACCAGCCACACUGGAACUGAGACACGGUCCAGACACCUACGGGUGGCAGCAGUCGAGAAUCUUUCACAAUGGGGGCAACCCUGAUGGAGCGACGCCGCGUGGAGGAUAAGGUCUUCGGAUUGUAAACUCCUGUCAUGCGAGAACAAGGUUGCAGGGAUAAUACCUUUGCAAAUUGAUGGUACCGCAAGAGGAAGAGACGGCUAACUCUGUGCCAGCAGCCGCGGUAAUACAGAGGUCUCAAGCGUUGUUCGGAAUCACUGGGCGUAAAGGGUGCGUAGGUGGCGUGGUAAGUCAGAUGUGAAAGCCCGGGGCUCAACCUCGGAAUUGCAUCCGAUACUACCAUGCUAGAGUACUGAAGAGGUGACUAGAAUUCUCGGUGUAGCAGUGAAAUGCGUAGAUAUCGAGAGGAAUACCAACGGCGAAGGCAGGUCACUGGGCAGUUACUGACACUGAGGCACGAAGGCUAGGGUAGCGAACGGGAUUAGAUACCCCGGUAGCCCUAGCAGUAAACGGUGCACGUUUGGUGUGGGCGCAAUCGACCGCGUCCGCGCCGGAGCUAACGCGUUAAACGUGCCGCCUGGGAAGUACGGUCGCAAGAUUAAAACUCAAAGAAUUGACGGGGACCCGCACAAGCGGUGGAGUAUGUGGCU
rnacentral:rRNA from 1 species